rnacentral:pre_miRNA from 1 species
AAAGAAAUUGUUGGGCCAUUUAGUAGUUUAUUUAGAUUUUUAAGGAAUCUCCAUACUUCUUUCCAUAUUGAAUGUAUCAAUUUACAUUCCAACCAACAGU